CUCUUACUCCAACUUUAUCUUCUCUCCUCAUGUAUUCUACCGUCUCUUUUACUCUUUCCUCUCGUGCGCUUGUCUCUUUUCUCCUCCAGAUCUACCUGUUUGUCUGUCUGUCUGUCUGUCUGUCUGUCUGUCUGUCUGACUGUCUGUCUGUCUGUCUGUCUGUCUGUCUGUCUGUCUGUAUGUCUGUCUGACUCCUCCUUCAGCUGGUUUUGGUGUGUGCGCAGAGCACAGAGAGAGGAGGACUGUGGAGGUUUACCGUUUUGAGUGAAGAGCUGACCUUUCACCUCCAGCAGCUGCAGAGACAGACAGAGCAGGAGCUCAGCAACAUACACAUACAUCUCUUGCAGAUCGUACAGCGCCAGCAGCUGCUGACCUCUGAGCUUUGUAAUCUUCAGGAGAAGAAGAAACAGACCGAACAAGAACUGAAGAGAAACUCCAGCCUUCAGACGUCCACUUUUCUGCUGUGUGCUUGUCGGGAGCUUCAGGUCUUCAUCACCGAGCGUUUGCUCCAAUCAGAGAGGUUGCUGUUCCAAGAGGAGGCACUGAGCGCGCUCCGUAACCUGCUGACCCAAGACCUGCUGAGGUACCAGGAAGAGACGCAGAGACUGACCUGUUUCACACAGAAAAUACAACCCCACAGGUCAGACAGAGACGAAACGUCCACCA
rnacentral:lncRNA from 1 species